UGGAGAGCAGGCUGGUCUGGAUCUGAAGUACUUUGGAAAGAGGGAUGACAGCAUUCCACUACCUGGUCUGUUAAGUAACGUGCAUCAUAGAGAAUUUCCUGUGUGAUCGUGCCAGCACUCGAUGUCUUCUGCCUACGUCUUCUCAUAAGACCGCUGGAGUUGUACAACUUGACUUCAGGCUACGUCAUCACAUAUGUACUUCUUCUCAUAAGACAGCUGGAGUUGUACAACUUGACUUCAGGCUACAUCAUCCCAUAUGUACUUCUUGUCAUAAGACAGCUGGAGUUGUACAACUUGACUUCAGGCUACGUCAUCACACGUGUACAACACUAAGAACUACUGUGAUGUGGAAGAGGUUUCUUUAGAAAGACCAGCCCUGUUCAAGCUGUAUUUCCAAGUAGCUUUACGAGCAUCAUCUGAGGUAUCCACCAGGUGGUCCUCAUCGCCUAAUCAACCGUCAACAAAUCAUCCAAUUUCCAUCAGCUGUGCAGUCUCCCAUUUAAACCCCCACAUGUCUUCAGUUCCCCGGCCAGCUAGUUUAGUUUGUGUGUUGUAGUUACUUUGUGUUGAUGUCUUUGUCUCCGUAGCUAAUUUGUGUUUUGUAAUGUCUGGCCCGUUUUCAGUUGUUUGCAUUUUGACUAUUUUGAGUUAUGUUUAGCGUUUAGUUGUUUAGUUCUUUUGGGCAAGGGGAUCAAGGUAAGAUGCCCAUGGGCAAACACCCCAUCACGCAGCUUACCUCUGUUAGACA